UACGGAGGGGGGCUAGCGUUGUUCGGAAUUACUGGGCGUAAAGCGCGCGUAGGCGGCUUUGCAAGUUAGAGGUGAAAGCCCGGAGCUUAACUCCGGAACUGCCUUUAAAACUGCAUCGCUAGAAUCAUGGAGAGGUGAGUGGAAUUCCGAGUGUAGAGGUGAAAUUCGUAGAUAUUCGGAAGAACACCAGUGGCGAAGGCGGCUCACUGGUCCGGUACUGACGCUGAGGUGCGAAAGCGUGGGGAGCAAACAGGAUUAGAA
rnacentral:rRNA from 1 species